GCAACGUUCAUCGGCGCAGGGUGAGUCGGCCCCUAAGGCGAGGCAGAGAUGCGUAGCUGAUGGGAAGCUGGUUAAUAUUCCAGCACCGUCGUACAGUGCGAUGGGGGGACGGAUCGCGGAAGGUCAUCAGGGUGUUGGACGUCCCUGUUGCUGCAUUGAAGAUGGCGCUUAGGCAAAUCCGGGCGCGAGAAUCAAGGGUGUGGCACGAGCGAGCAAGUCUCGCGAAGUGAUUGGAAGUGGUUCCAAGAAAAGCCUCUAAGCUUCAGCUGUACGAGACCGUACCGCAAACCGACACAGGUGGACGGGAUGAAUAUUCCAAGGCGCUUGAGAGAACUCAGGAGAAGGAACUCGGCAAAUUGAUACCGUAACUUCGGGAGAAGGUAUACCCUGGUAGUGUGAAGCGCCUGCGCGCUGAGCAUGAAGGGGUCGCAGAGAAUCGGUGGCUGCGACUGUUUAUUAAAAACACAGCACUCUGCAAAGACGAAAGUCGACGUAUAGGGUGUGACGCCUGCCCGGUGCCGGAAGGUUAAGUGAUGGGGUGCAAGCUCUUGAUCGAAGCCCCGGUAAACGGCGGCCGUAACUAUAACGGUCCUAAGGUAGCGAAAUUCCUUGUCGGGUAAGUUCCGACCUGCACGAAUGGCGUAACGAUGGCCACACUGUCUCCUCCUGAGACUCAGCGAAGUUGAAGUGUUUGUGAUGAUGCAAUCUACCCGCGGCUAGACGGAAAGACCCCAUGAACCUUUACUGUAGCUUUGCAUUGGACUGUGAACCGGCCUGUGUAGGAUAGGUGGGAGGCGCAGAACUCGAGUCGCCAGAUUCGAGGGAGCCAUCCUUGAAAUACCACCCUGGUUUGUUUGCGGUUCUAACCUUGGUCCGUUAUCCGGAUCGGGGACAGUGCAUGGUAGGCAGUUUGACUGGGGCGGUCUCCUCCCAAAGCGUAACGGAGGAGUUCGAAGGUACGCUAGGUACGGUCGGAAAUCGUGCUGAUAGUGCAAUGGCAUAAGCGUGCUUGACUGUGAGACUGACAAGUCGAACAGGUGC
rnacentral:rRNA from 1 species